CAUUCCUGUGUGCUUUUGCUAGGCGUGUGAAGUUUGUGGGGUCUCAGCUCUUGGGAAAGGCAUUUAGAAGGAUAAGCGCUUGUGCCUGACUUCUCCAAGGCCCGUGUGUCGAGGUAGUCUGAAGAGCUUAUGCUGUGAGCAAUGAGCUUUACAAGGUGAUAUCUGAAACCUUCCUCUUUCCUUAGUUUCACUGCUUCUGCUACUGUUUUUUUGCAGUGUCAAGUACACGAGACCAUACGAACCCCUGAGGAACAGACAUAUCACAUCAAGUUUGAAAGACCUCUUAGCCCUGGAUGGCUUAUUUUUGCUGUUAUUUCUUCUUAAACAAGGAGUCCUUGUGGUUUGUCAUGCAGCCACAUAGGUUUGGGGGAAGGGAUUUAUCUGCUCAGUACAGUAACCAAUGUUGAUGUGGAAGGGAAAUGACUAUGGCCAUAAUUACUUCCAGUGAGUGUAGAAACUGGAGAAGGUUAGAGCCUCCUUGUGCACUGUGCACCUAGGGAUCAGUGUUCAAUAUGAAUGACAGAAGAACAAAGGUCAGACUUCUGGAACCACUCACAGUCAAACACAGUUGCCAAGCUCCCUUGAAUUUUAUUUGUUACUUGUUAAAACAACAAAAUUAAAAAAAAAAAAGAAACCCUUUCUUCUCAUUAUAGAUGGAGGAACACAGAUGCACAGCCCAGGUCUCCAGCUAAAAGAGACAGGGAAAGGGAGUCCGUACUGGUGCUCAUAAGGAAAGAUACUUUAUAAGGACUGGUAUGCAUGGUGGAAGCUCUCUUCUGACUGUGCACCCCCACAGAACACAGAAGGAAGCAACAGAAGGGUAUUUUGGCUGCAAACCUAGCUGCAAACAGUACUCCUUGCUCAGCCAUUCUGGUUGUAAAUGGUAGAAGGCAGAAAAUGAGCAUAGUGACAUGACUGGGCUUGUGGCAGUGAAAAAUUCCCAGUUUAGGAUGAAAUAAAGAACUUUACCCUUUAAUAAUAAACUUACUACUGACUCAAGACCCAUCUUUUCACAUUCCUCUACCACAGGAAUGCACCAUCUACUUUCAGCUCAGACAUCCCCCUCCCUGCAUUACAAAAGCAGGAAAUCUUGUCCUCUGGUCUAGUUAGAAAUAGUCUAGCCUAGUCAAGUUAGUCUAGCCACUCCUCCCUCAGUACAGCAUGCUCAUCUUCAAGCCAGGGAAGCCCUACUGCAUUCGAGAAAGGCUGCCGUGCAGAAAUUCAGCUGCAACAAUACAGACACAGGAAAGAUCCUCAGAGAUUUCAUCUGGUGAGUGAAGUGAGUCUGAGGCAUUGUACUGUUGAAGUAGGUGAUUUGUAAGCAUUUGUUAUUGACAUAAGGCUCACUUUUUAUUUUUAUUUUUUUUUUCCUUACAGAACAUGCAAUGCUAAACAGCUGGCCAAAGGCAUCAUUUUUCUCCCCUUUCUCAUCCCUCAAGAUUGCUGAACCAAUGGCAUCAGCCAGGGAAGGAAGAAGCCCCAAGCACAGAAAUAGCAGGUGCCACCUCUUUUUUUUUUGUGGUAAGUAAGGAUUUAUUGCACAUUUGUUUUAAGCUGGAGACAGACAGGUAUCCCCUUCAACUACAAGAGCUUUAGCUUCCUAGCCAUUCCAUUUUAGCACAGAUAUUCUUAGGCAUCCCCGUUCCCACAUGUAGAACAGAGCCUUUCCACCCACAGGAGAAACCAUCUUUACAAGAAGCCAUCACCAGCCAGUAGUUCUUCCAGAGAAAGGACCCCUCAGCACCCACUUAGACCCCGCAGAGGCUGACUCCAGUACCAGUAUUUCAGGGGCAUACCUCAAAAGCAGAGGAACAGCAUUAGACCUAGAAGCUCCCCAUAGCUUCUUGCUCAAGGGAAACUGUAAAGCAAGAGGAAGACCUCUCUCAAACAGGGGACCUGGUUUUCCCACUAUUACAAAGUCACCCAUUUUUAAGUUUCAAGUCUCCCAUCCACUAAUUCAACCCAGUGCACUUUGAGAGGCAUGCUCUUUAGUAUUAUGCCUUAUCCCCACAAGGAGACAUCUUCAUUUUUAUAAACACAACACCAAGUUGGCCUUGUUAGAGACCUGUCACAACAGGGAGAGGUCAUCAGCAUUUCCCUCCUUUAAUUUUCCCAUUUGUCUGAGUUUUUCCCCUCCAAGAGCAGCAUGCUAAAGUCAGAGAGCAGAGCAGCAGCUGCCCUCCUUCCUGAGGGUCUCAGUCUACUUAGGCUGCUACAGUAUCCAUCCUGCAUAGCUAGAGAUGGUUUGCCUGUGGUGUGAGGGAGUAAACAUGACCUCCAGCCACUUCCCUCAACCCCCCCAGGGUGCAGUCCACGACUACAGAGAACAAGCAACCUCUUAAGUCACAACAAGAGGAGUUGGUUCCAAGGGAGCUUACCUGAGCUUUGAAGAACCACACUAAAAACUUUUUUCUCCUCCUCCUUUCAGCCCAGGAGCACCACACAAAGCAGCCAUCGCCACACAGGAGCCACUCCAGCACCCAGGGAAGAGACAUCUCUGCCAGGAGGGGGGCCCCCCCACUCCCCCACACAAGGGGAGCCCCCCAGCCAGGGGGGACACUAC
rnacentral:lncRNA from 1 species